rnacentral:lncRNA from 1 species
AUGUUGUCAUUUUGUUGGAUGCUUUGUGUCACUGCAGCUGCUGAAGUUAAUGUUGAUGAAGAAGAAAACCUCACAUACAGUGACCUCAAAAUAUUACAGCAAAAACACCACCAGCGCCAGAAAUCAAGAAUCACAGAGUCUGAUCCAGCAGCUGUUUACUCAGCAGUGAGAACAGGAGACGUCAUUUAUGGACCAAUAGUGAUUAAAAACAAGAAAACAAAGCAAACAGACUUUCCACCGGAACCAGAGACUGUGUACUCCUCCCUGAGGUUCAACUUAACCCCUUCAGUCCAGUUCAACCACUGACGUCCUGGUAGCUCCCCACACACGCUUGUUUAUUAAUGCCUAGUGAAGUAUUUGCUGUAAAGGCCUUGUUACUUUGCUUUUUAUAAAAUCCGGCCAGUGCAGCAUCAACGCUUGUGUAGUAGCUGUAGUCUGAUGUUUUAUCACCAGGUAGAAGCUGCCUAAUAAACAUGUAAUGACAGUGAAGCA